GAAGAAGGCCUUCGGGUUGUAAAGCACUUUCAGUCGUGAGGAAGGCGGCGUCGUUAAUAGCGGCGUUGUUUGACGUUAGCGACAGAAGAAGCACCGGCUAACUCCGUGCCAGCAGCCGCGGUAAUACGGAGGGUGCGAGCGUUAAUCGGAAUUACUGGGCGUAAAGCGCAUGCAGGUGGUUUGUUAAGUCAGAUGUGAAAGCCCGGGGCUCAACCUCGGAAUUGCAUUUGAAACUGGCAGACUAGAGUACUGUAGAGGGGGGUAGAAUUUCAGGUGUAGCGGUGAAAUGCGUAGAGAUCUGAAGGAAUACCGGUGGCGAAGGCGGCCCCCUGGACAGAUACUGACACUCAGAUGCGAAAGCGUGGGGAGCAAACAGGAUUAGAUACCCUGGUAGUCCACGCCGUAAACGAUGUCUACUUGGAGGUUGUGGCCUUGAGCCGUGGCUUUCGGAGCUAACGCGUUAAGUAGACCGCCUGGGGAGUACGGUCGCAAGAUUAAAACUCAAAUGAAUUGACGGGGGCCCGCACAAGCGGUGGAGCAUGUGGUUUAAUUCGAUGCAACGCGAAGAACCUUACCUACUCUUGACAUCCAGAGAACUUUCCAGAGAUGGAUUGGUGCCUUCGGGAACUCUGAGACAGGUGCUGCAUGGCUG
rnacentral:rRNA from 1 species